rnacentral:rRNA from 1 species
GACGUAGGGCGCGAGCGUUUGUCCGGAUUUAUUGGGCGUAAAAGAGCUCGUAGGCGGUUCGUCGCGUCGGCUGUGAAAUCCCGAGGCUCAACCUCGGGUCUGCAGUCGAUACGGGCGGACUGGAGGCCAGUAGGGGGAUGCGGAAUUCCGGGUGUAGUGGUGGAAUGCGUAGAGAUCCGGAGGGAACACCAGCGGCGAAAGGCGGCAUCCUGGACUGGUCCUGACACUCAGGAGCGAAAGCGUGGGGAGGCGAGUCCGG